rnacentral:rRNA from 1 species
UAGUUUGAUCCUGGCUCAGAACGAACGCUAGCGGCAUGCCUCAAACAUGCAAGUCGAACGCGAAAGGGACUUCGGUCCUGAGUAGAGUGGCGCACGGGUGCGUAACACGUAGCUAAUGUACCUCCUCGCUGGGGAUAACUUCGGGAAACCGAAGCUAAUACCGAAUAAUCUGUAGCGGUCUGCGGACUGCUCCGGUAAAGCCUUCGGGCGCGAGGAGAUCAGGCUGCGUCCCAUUAGCUAGUUGGCGGGGUAAUGGCCCACCAAGGCUACGAUGGGUAGCUGGUCUGAGAGGAUGAUCAGCCACACUGGAACUGAAACACGGUCCAGACUCCCACGGGAGGCAGCAGUUGGGAAUAUUGGACAAUGGGGGCAACCCUGAUCCAGCAAUGCCGCGUGAGUGAUGAAGGCUUUCGGGUCGUAAAGCUCUUUAAGCAGGGACGAAGGGGAAACCUUGACGGUACCUGCAGAAUAAGCACCGGCUAACUCUGUGCCAGCAGCCGCGGUAAUACAGAGGGUGCAAGCGUUGUUCGGAAUCAUUGGGCGUAAAGCGCGUGUAGGCGGUCUUCUAAGUCUGGUGUGAAAGCCCAGGGCUUAACCCUGGAAGUGCACUGGAUACUGGAAGACUAGAGGGCGAGAGGGGGAAGCGGAAUUCUUGGUGUAGGGGUGAAAUCCGUAGAUAUCAAGAGGAACAUCGGUGGCGAAGGCGGCUUCCUGGCUCGUUUCUGACGCUCAGACGCGAAAGCGUGGGUAG